rnacentral:rRNA from 1 species
GACGAACCGUGCGAACGUUGUUCGGAAUCACUGGGCUUAAAGGGCGCGUAGGCGGGCCACCAAGUCAGGGGUGAAAUCUUUCGGCUCAACCGGAAAAGUGCCUUUGAUACUGGUGGCCUCGAGGGAGGUAGGGGUCUGCGGAACUUCCGGUGGAGCGGUGAAAUGCGUAGAUAUCGGAAGGAACGCCGGUGGCGAAAGCGGCGGACUGGACCUCUUCUGACGCUGAGGCGCGAAAGCCAGGGG